GAAGAUAGAGGUUGCGUGUUUCAAGAGUAUUUUUUCUGAUGUGGCAGGCACAGCUGAAGAAGGAAGAAAGGGAAAUGCGCCGAAAGAGGAGAUUGCCUGCAAAUCAAAUCUUGGGCAUACGGUUAAGAGCCGUAUGACUGUCAUCUGCUGUAAGGGCGGCAGAUGGGGCGCUAUCA
rnacentral:ncRNA from 1 species